AUGGCGACGGUGGCGAUGGACAUCUCGAAGCCCCCGCCGGCCGCGUCCGGCGACGAGUCGGCCAAGGGCGCGCGUGGCGGAGGCGAGGGGCUGCGCCAGUACUACCUGCAGCACAUCCACGACCUGCAGCUCCAGAUCCGCCAGAAGACGCACAACCUCAAUCGCCUCGAGGCCCAGCGCAACGACCUCAACUCCCGAGUUAGAAUGCUUAGGGAAGAGCUACAGUUACUCCAGGAGCCUGGCUCUUAUGUUGGUGAGGUGGUGAAGGUCAUGGGAAAAUCAAAGGUUCUUGUUAAGGUGCAUCCAGAAGGCAAAUAUGUAGUAGAUAUUGAUAAGAGCAUCGAUAUCACAAAAAUCACACCUUCAACAAGAGUUGCUCUUCGGAAUGAUAGCUAUAUGCUUCAUUUGGUCCUUCCAAGCAAAGUUGAUCCACUGGUCAAUCUUAUGAAAGUUGAGAAGGUCCCAGAUUCUACAUAUGAUAUGAUUGGAGGUCUUGAUCAGCAAAUCAAGGAGAUCAAAGAGGUCAUCGAGCUUCCUAUCAAACAUCCUGAGUUAUUUGAGAGCCUUGGAAUUGCCCAGCCAAAGGGUGUUCUCCUUUAUGGACCACCAGGGACAGGCAAAACAUUACUGGCACGUGCAGUUGCUCAUCACACCGACUGUACCUUCAUCAGGGUAUCUGGUUCUGAGUUGGUUCAGAAGUAUAUUGGUGAGGGCUCCCGGAUGGUUCGUGAACUCUUUGUUAUGGCUAGGGAGCAUGCACCGUCUAUUAUAUUCAUGGAUGAAAUAGACUCCAUUGGAUCUGCUAGAAUGGAGUCUGGAACUGGCAAUGGUGAUAGUGAAGUGCAACGGACCAUGCUUGAGCUUCUAAACCAACUUGAUGGUUUUGAAGCAUCAAACAAAAUUAAGGUUCUGAUGGCAACAAACCGGAUAGACAUCUUGGAUCAAGCCCUUUUGAGGCCUGGCCGCAUAGACAGGAAGAUUGAAUUUCCAAAUCCUAAUGAGGAUUCACGAGGUGAUAUCUUGAAGAUUCAUUCAAGAAGGAUGAACUUGAUGCGUGGUAUUGAUCUGAAAAAGAUUGCGGGAAAGAUGAAUGGCGCUUCAGGAGCUGAGCUAAAGGCGGUCUGCACCGAAGCCGGAAUGUUUGCUCUCCGCGAGAGAAGGGUGCACGUAACACAGGAGGACUUCGAGAUGGCGGUGGCCAAGGUGAUGAAGAAGGACAAUGAGAAGAACAUGUCCUUGCGGAAGCUGUGGAAGUGA
rnacentral:rRNA from 1 species